AACGAACGCUGGCGGCAGGCUUAACACAUGCAAGUCGAGCGCCCCGCAAGGGGAGCGGCAGACGGGUGGGUAACGCGUGGGAAUCUACCCAUCUCUACGGAAUAACGCAUGGAAACGUGUGCUAAUACCGUAUACGUCCUUCGGGAGAAAGAUUUAUCGGAGAUGGAUGAGCCCGCGUUGGAUUAGCUAGUUGGUGGGGUAAAGGCCUACCAAGGCGACGAUCCAUAGCUGGUCUGAGAGGAUGAUCGGCCACACUGGGACUGAGACACGGCCCAGACUCCUACGGGAGGCAGCAGUGGGGAAUAUUGGACAAUGGGCGCAAGCCUGAUCCAGCCAUGCCGCGUGAGUGAUGAAGGCCCUAGGGUUGUAAAGCUCUUUCACCGGUGAAGAUAAUGACGGUAACCGGAGAAGAAGCCCCGGCUAACUUCGUGCCAGCCGCCGCAGUAAGAC
rnacentral:rRNA from 1 species